AAUUUAAGGAAUCAAUUAAACUAAAAUAAAUUAGAUGAUUAAAAAUUUGAUUAUCCCUUAAUAUUAAUGUUAUGUCAGGGAUCGAUAUGCGUGGCUAUUUUAAAAUAUUCGCCAGAGUUGUUGAGAUGGUUUGGCCUCUGCCUCUGGGUUUCUAUGUCAAGUCGCCAGAAUAGAACAUUAGAAGAGAAACCAACCAGAGGAUGCAGCAAAAAUGAAAGGAGAUCAACCAAGCAACAAGACUCCGAUCAUUGAAAUCUCAGUAUUAUCAGUGACAGUAGCAGCAGUUUUGUCACUCACUCAACUUCCUUAUACGAAGGUGCAAGGAAACCCAGUCCCAACUAUUCUGUUCAGCCACAGCAAUCCCUCCUUGUUCCAUGCUUUUGUAUUGUCUCUCAACUUUGCUUUCUUCGGUUCUCUCAAUUCCCUCACUCUUCGCCACUCAUAUCCCAGACUUGCCAACGCUUCUCUGCUUCUUUCUCUCUUCUCCACCGCCGCCUGGGCCGCCGUUCUCCUCUACCUUACCGUUCCCGUCUUCUUCACUUUUGCCACAUCCUUCUCAUAGAUACAUCCUAGGACCUGCCUCCAGAAACAAGACAUGCUCAAUGGGAGAGGGAGCAAAAUAUCAGCCGAAGAAUCGACGAGAGGAGAGGAGAGGAGCAGAAGAAAAUGAAAGCAAAACUUGCCAAUUAAAAUUGCCUCAUCUCCAACCACAAGGUCAAAUUUAUGAGUGUGAAACCCAAGCGGAUCGGAGUUUUGUGAUGAUUUGAAUCUGAUUCCUUCACACUCAGUGGUACGAUCUGUGAGAAUGGCGUCUCUGGUUUUUCUGGAAAUGAUUGUGGUUUUGACCCAGACGGCGGCAUGGUGCUCUUCUGGGUUCCCCGUGGAGCCUUGGAGGUUGAUCGCUACAGAUUUUCCCUGAAAAAAUGACAAUUAAAACCCCUAACGUCAUUAAUUUCAAUUAAAAACCAUAAUUUUUAUUUAAAAUAAAAAAAAUACAUAACAUUAUAAAAUUGUUUUUUAUUAAACACUAAAAAAUACAUAACUUUAUAAAAUUGUCUUUUACUAAACACAAAAUAUAUAUAAUACUAUUAAAAAUAUUAUCAUAGUAUGAAAAUAUUGUUAAUAUUUAUUAAAAAAAACAAAGAAACACACUUAAAAAUAAAUUAUUUUUCGAUAUGAAAGAAACUCUCUUUUGAAGUAUUUCAAAGUCACUUAUAAAUAUAUAAAAAUAACUUGAGAAUUUAUUAACUUUACUUAAAAAUAUGAAUCCAAUAACUUAUUAAAUUUUAUGCUUAUUCACAUAUAAUUAGACUAUUUGUAAAAUAAAAAAAUGACACUAUUAAAAUUACUAUUGUAAUAUGAAAAUAUUGUUAAUGUCAGAUAAGAAAAUAAAAACCAUACUUAGAAAUAAAUUAUUUUUAAAGAAACUCACUUUUGAAAUGUUUUAAGGUCACUAAUGAAUAUACAAAAAUAACUUAAAAAUAUCCUGAUUUCACUUGGGGAUAUAAACCCAAGACUUAUCAAAUUUCAUGUUUAUUUAUAUAUAAUUAUAUUUAAAAAAAUAAAGAAAUGACAUUAUUGAAAUCACUAUCAUGAUAUAAGAAUAUUGUUAAUGUUAAUUAAAAAAUAAGAAAUCACAUUUGGGAAUAUAUUGCUUUCCAAUAUAAAAAAACUCACUUUUAAAAUGUUCCAAUGUCAGUUAUGAAAACAUUUACGAAGAUGAUGUUAACAAAGUUAAAAAAAAUAAUUCAUAAUUAAAUUAAGCUAGAAUUAAACUUCUCCCAUGUAUAGUAAAAUUAAAGUUUUAUUUCAUUAACAUCAUCUUUGUGAAUAUUUUUAGAUAAGAACUCUUUAAAUUUUUUUUUCUCGAGCUGAUAUUGAGAACAAAGACGAAAAGAUUGGAGAGAUUAAUGCAUUGUAGGCAUCAUAAAAUAUGCAAAUAAACAGUUUAUGGUCAAAAUUGAGAGAAAGGUGUUAUAUAGUUUAUUUUUUAUAAUAGAGACUACCCAAUUCUCCUUGAAAAUAUUUCAUAACUAAAUUUACA